UACGUAGGGUGCAAGCGUUAAUCGGAAUUACUGGGCGUAAAGCGUGCGCAGGCGGCUUUGCAAGACAGAUGUGAAAUCCCCGGGCUCAACCUGGGAACUGCAUUUGUGACUGCAAGGCUAGAGUACGGUAGAGGGGGAUGGAAUUCGCGUGUAGCAGUGAAAUGCGUAGAUAUGCGGAGGAACACCGAUGGCGAAGGCAAUCCCCUGGACCUGUACUGACGCUCAUGCACGAAAGCGUGGGGAGCAAACAGG
rnacentral:rRNA from 1 species